CUCCAGACUAGACAAGAGGACAGGGGAAUCGACUUUCCCUGUGUUGCUUGGAUCAACGACACAUCAGAGUUGAAUUGUGGAAAACCAAGAAUAUCUCCAUGCCAUCAUCCCUCAGUACAUGUGGAUGAAGUACCAUGACUGAUCAUUUUGUGUUAGAAAGUUUGAUUUUAAGAACUGCUGCUUGAGUUGCUGAUUUGAAUUUCACAUAGAAAUCAUUCAGUGAAUUCUGAUGUGGGAUUAGGACAGAAUCUCUAAUAAUUUUCAAAUGGCCUCAAUCACACUCCUAACAUUUUGUACUAUUUAUUUACGAGAAGCAUUCUCAGUAUUGACAGUUAUAAAAUCAAAAUAUUGACCAAUCCUGAAAGGUGUUAGAGAUGCUGUAGGUCCCACAUAUCAAAUAUUCAGCCAAGAUUUGAUUCAUUUAUGUAAAAAUAAGCAAGUACAGUGUCAAAUUAAUACACAAAUUUGUUUUUAAUAAAUCAUAAAUUUAUAUGUACACUAAAGAAUUUGCUUUAAAAUAAAUUUCUUUAUGAUUUAUUAUC